rnacentral:lncRNA from 1 species
CUCCAUGGAAAUAAAAACUAUCGAUUGCACUCCUAUCAAAUAUAAAAACAUCACACGUAUUCUCCCAUCAAAUAAAAAAAUUAAGCAUCACAAAAAUAAAAGACAUUAGGCAUUUAAAAAAAAAAAACUCCCUUUUGGCUCCCACUUUUGUUCUUUAUCUGUUCUUUCUAAGCCAUUCAUACUGGAGCAAGAAAGGAACUCUCCUCCCCUUCUCUCCAUUCUUUAUAGCAAGA